rnacentral:lncRNA from 1 species
CACCUGUGAAGUGGUCCUGAGUUCUAAAUGCUCAUCAGAACCCAUAUGAGGAAUAAAAGAAAAGAACGUGAAAGUCGUAGUCUAAUUAAGGAGGCCAUGGGGUGUGAAAGAGACUACCAGCAAAUAAUGAAAGGCAGUGAGGAAUGAGUAACUGGUCCAUAGAUGGCCUGGAAGUGAGCGUAUGGACAAAGAGAAGAUGGUGACUUCAGCAGGUCCCCAUGGCAAUCCCUCACUAGUUCUGUUUGGCUUCCAAGGCUGUUCCUAUGGCCAGAAUCCGACUGAAGUACCAUCUGAUGUCCUACCCCAUUUUCGGAAGCCAUAGUCAAAACUCACAAUCAUCAUGCCACUUGCUGGGCAUGGCAUUAUGGACUGAUCCAGGAUGGCUCCUUCACUCAGGUGGCUGCCCCUCCCACAUCUUGGGCCUCUUAUUUGGUGUCAGCUUCCUCCAAGCCACUUCUCACCACAUGGUGGUUCCAAGGGAGUCUUCCUCCCUCCACAAGGAUGAGAAUGGAAACAGCCCAGGGAAGACUUGCCUCUGGAAGCAUCCAUGUCAUAUCCACUCUAGUGAAUCAAUCAGUCAAAGCACUGGUUUCAUUCAAGCACCGGGAUGGCCUCCAGACCCCUAUGGUAAUGAUCCAGCCAUGAAAGCCUACUCGUCUGGAAGCUGGAGUAUCGGC